rnacentral:lncRNA from 1 species
CAACCACGGAUCAGUCCACGACCGAUCAGUCAACGCGCGUUCCGGUGCCGACGACCGCGAGCGAAGCGCCCAUUUUGAGUGAGCCACUUGUUCCGAUGCCACCGCGACUAAGUCGUAGGUCGCUUCCUGCGCAAAAAACGAAAUCCGCUUCCCAGCUCACCAGGGAUCCAUCGAAAUCCCCGUCAACUCUGAAGGACAAGGUUAUCGACAUGUUCAGGCGCAAUGGCGGCCGAGAGGAGGAAGAACUGGAGCUGUCGUCCACCUACGUGACAGGCGAUCUGUGGACACCUACCUGCCGAGCCCGGAGUGUUCAAAAUCGACCCUUACCAGAACGCUUUCCAGAUUUCAUCAGACGCUCCUUCAGACGAAAAUCCUACUGCGUACAGAAGGCUCGCUCACAUUCGCCGUAGACGUUACCAUGUUUAAAAGGAAAAAAAAUACUGAAGAAUCAUGUGCACUUCGCUUCCAAGCUCAACAUUUGCCAGACUGUAACACGGUGCAUCGGCUACAUAUUACUGGUGCAUAUAUUAGGUACUCGGAAGGUCGCAUAAAAGUGUUCCUUUUCGAAGACGGUCAGUGUUCAAAACAUUUCGCUACUGAGUUGAAAUAAUGGCAAAA